ACUCUUCGCCUCUCGAUGGAUCCUUCUGGCCAACUCCCGGAUUCGUUGUGGUCCCCGCCUAAAUGCUCUCGAAGACCAAAUCUCGUUGUGGUUUCCCGGCUGCGUAAGAAGCGGCUGGGGAACGGCGCCCGGUGAGCUGCAGGCCCAGGAAGAGAACAGGUGUGGGAAGGGGACGGCAGGGGCUAAGGGCGGGGAACGGCCGCUUUGGGCUGGCGAUCGUGGUGCGCCUUCUGGCCUCUCCUGUAGGUCCCCCCAGCCCUGUUCAUGCGCACCGGUAAUUGGUGUCCUGUGUUUCCUAGAAUUUCGAUUUUCCAAAAUCCGUGUAAAACGGACCAUGGCUCAACCCGGGCCAAAUCAGGCCGGCGGGUUCUUGGGGCUGGCACUUACCCCCGGACCCCAAGUGCAGGGAGUCCUCAAUGCAGGACUCUGCCCCUCCAUUCUGUGCCUAGGAAGUCUGUUCUCACACUCUUCCUCCUCAACGGCGGGAGGGCGAAAUCUCGCCACGGGGGACACGUGG
rnacentral:lncRNA from 1 species